AGACCGUCAGAUGUCUGAGAGUCUCAGAUGAUGACUGAUGAGCAAGGAAUGCAGACGUGCAGGAUGGGCCAGGAGCAAGGGCUACACUGGGCACUCCUGCCACCCAGGGGCCUGGGGGCUGGAAGCAGGCAUUGGGCUCUGAGGAUUAGGAAAAUUAUUUUUUGAGAAGUUGGGACUUAAGGAUGUUGAUGAGGUGAAACAUCUUUUUCCUGAUGAAGGUGGAAAAUACUAACAUUCCUCACGUUUGAAUUUACUUUCAUCUGUUUUUAGUAUCAGACUACUCUCCCCUGUGCUCAGCCUGAUCCGGUUCCUCAUUACGCUGCAGUUGGUCAAUGGGAAGAAUUCUGUUCAUGGGAAGAAUGAACAGAGUCCAUGCUGUUCAUGGGAAGAAUGCGCAUGAGUAUCAGCAGUACCUAAAUCUUCUUUCUACGUGAGAGGAAAAGGAGUUGCCUCUGCUACUCCUCGCAUCCUGUUCCUGAGAAGAAAACACUGAACCCCCAGAAGCUGCGUGCUGUGCUGACCUGGCUGCCACUCUCCCCACACUCCCUGGUGUGAGGAGGCUCGGUGCUCCCUCCCACCACCUCCAGCCACACCUUUCCUUUCUUCAAAAACCUACAACGCUGUUCUCACUCUGAAGUUGUUUCAAGAAGCUUCUAAAACAGUGUCUCAAACUUCUGUGAAUUCUUCCCACAGUCAUAAAGACAUUUCACAAGAAGACCCCCUAGAUACUCACAUCUUUACCCACAGUCAUAAAGAUGUUUCACAGGGAGACCCUCUAGAUACUCACAUCUUUAUCAAUUUAGCAAAUGUUUCGCAGCACAGCACUUACCUUUGUGACAUGUGAUGCACACUGAUAGUUUGUAUUGUGCUACACUGCGCUAUUCUUUUAAAAGCCAGUCAUAGCUGACCAAAUGGAUGUCACCACUUUCUAACACAUCUAGGUCUGCAACUAAAAUACUCCAAAUAUUCCAGCAAGGACCAAAAAUCUCAGGCCUAGAUUUGCCAACAGUGCCCUCUUCUGGGCAGCUUUAUUAUAAGCAGUGUCUUGAAACACUUGUGUGAUUGUCAAUGUAUGUAUGUGUACACUGAGUCUCACCAGAAAAUAUAUCUAUGUCUGCUGGUUA